rnacentral:rRNA from 1 species
UACGUAGGGGGCAAGCGUUGUCCGGAAUUAUUGGGCGUAAAGAGCGCGUAGGCGGUCCGAUAAGUCGGCUGUGAAAGUCAAGGGCUCAACCCUUGAAAGCCGGCCGAUACUGUCGGACUAGAGUCCGGAAGAGGCAAGUGGAAUUCCCGGUGUAGCGGUGAAAUGCGCAGAUAUCGGGAGGAACACCAAUGGCGAAGGCAGCUCGCUGGGACGUUACUGACACUGAGGCGCGAAAGCGUGGGGAGCGAACAGG